AAUAAAAUUAUUAAUGGCUUUAUUUUUAUAUUUGAUUUUUAAUUUAAUUGAUUGCCAAAAAACGGGAAAUAAUAAGGAUAAUUAUUAUUAAGCAGAACAAAAUUUCCUUAUCAACUCUAAAAGAAUGCUUCCGAUGAAUCACAAAUACUUAAUGAUAUUCAUUGCUUUAAUCUGGGCCUUUUCUUCAAUAAUUUAUGGCAGAGAAAUAUCGUACACAGCUUCCAGUAAUGAUCCUAUUAUCAGACCUUCGUUUGCAGAUAUAAUAAGCGCCGCUUUGAUUGUGGGAUAAUAAUACUAAAAUAUUGCAAUCAGAUUUGCAUACUUUUAUUUACACUAAUCUUUUUAUAAUGAUAUUUUUAUUUUAUAUUAUAUACAUAUAUAUUUGAAACAUGUAAAAUGUCACUAUUUUAACUAAUUAAAAAUCAUGUUCCUUAGUUUAAUUUUUUUUUUCCUCAUCACGAUAAUGAUGUAAAACAAAAAAAUUUACUCAAAAUUGAUAUAAAUAUUUUAUUAUUCUUAAAAUUUAUAUCUUCAGUUAUCAUUUUAUAUUUAAAUUAUAUUACAAUGUUUGAUUGAAUAGACGAUAAAACAAAUAUCCCCCUUUAGCUUCUUAGAGAUAAUUCAUUAAAUCGGUCAAAAUGUUUCUUCUUUAAUCUAUUCUCCUACUAGGGCUCACUCAUAUCACCCCAAAAUUUUUAUGACCGAUGACUAAUCUCCGUCGAAGAUAGUGACACAGUUUACUUUAAUAUGGCCUUUAGAUAUGUAAAAUAUUGUUUAAAUUUUCUUCCUUCCUCAAAUUGUGAAUUUCAAAAGCACAUAUGUUAAUUAAGAGUGUUUCUUUCUUUCUUUCUUUCUUUCUUUCUUUCUU